UCCCGAGUGCUUGCACUCAAUUGGAAAGAGGAGUGGCGGACGGGUGAGUAACACGUGGGUAACCUACCCAUCAGAGGGGGAUAACACUUGGAAACAGGUGCUAAUACCGCAUAACAGUUUAUGCCGCAUGGCAUAAGAGUGAAAGGCGCUUUCGGGUGUCGCUGAUGGAUGGACCCGCGGUGCAUUAGCUAGUUGGUGAGGUAACGGCUCACCAAGGCCACGAUGCAUAGCCGACCUGAGAGGGUGAUCGGCCACACUGGGACUGAGACACGGCCCAGACUCCUACGGGAGGCAGCAGUAGGGAAUCUUCGGCAAUGGACGAAAGUCUGACCGAGCAACGCCGCGUGAGUGAAGAAGGUUUUCGGAUCGUAAAACUCUGUUGUUAGAGAAGAACAAGGACGUUAGUAACUGAACGUCCCCUGACGGUAUCUAACCAGAAAGCCACGGCUAACUACGUGCCAGCAGCCGCGGUAAUACGUAGGUGGCAAGCGUUGUCCGGAUUUAUUGGGCGUAAAGCGAGCGCAGGCGGUUUCUUAAGUCUGAUGUGAAAGCCCCCGGCUCAACCGGGGAGGGUCAUUGGAAACUGGGAGACUUGAGUGCAGAAGAGGAGAGUGGAAUUCCAUGGGUUAAACG
rnacentral:rRNA from 1 species